rfam:Aedes albopictus isolate Foshan contig73730, whole genome shotgun sequence.
UGCCCAGCAACUCCUAUCCCUACCUCCUCGCGGUACCGGUCGGAAACUAUGAGCAACCUUAGGGAAGAUCGGGUAACCAACCCCGGUGGGAACUUUGGUCGUAGGCUGACAGGGAAGG